UAGAAAUCUAUGAAAUUUUAACACAAGGUUUAUGACCACAAAAGGAAGGUUGGGAUUGAUUUUGGGAGUUUUGGUCCCAACAUUUUAGGAAUUAGGGGCCAAAAAGGGCCCAAAUAAGCAUUUUCUUGGUUUUCGCACUAUAACUUUAGUUUAAGUAAAUAGAAAUCUAUGAAAUUUUGACACAAGGUUUAUGACCACAAAAGAAAGGUUGGGAUUGAUUUUGGGAGUUUUGGUUCAAACAGUUUAGGAAUUAGGGGCCAAAAAAGGGCCCAAAUAAGCAUUAUUCUUGGUUUUCGCACAAUAACUUUAGUUUAAGUAAAUAGAAAUCAAUGAAAUUUAAACACAAUGUUUAUGACCACAAAAGGAAGGUUGGUAUUGAUUUUGGGAGUUUAGGUCCCAACAGUUUAGGAAUUAGGGGCCAAAAAGGGACCCAAAUAAGCAUUUUUUUUGGUUUUCGCACCAUAACUUUAGUAUAAGUAAAUAGAAAUCUAUGAAAUUUAAACACAAGGUUUAUGACCAUAAAAGGAAGGUUGGUAUUGAUUUUGGGAGUUUUGGUCCCAACAGUUUAGGAAUAAGGGGCCCAAAGGGUCCAAAU
rnacentral:lncRNA from 1 species